rnacentral:rRNA from 1 species
UACGGAGGGUGCAAGCGUUAUCCGGAUUCACUGGGUUUAAAGGGUGCGUAGGAGGGCAGGCAAGUCAGUGGUGAAAUCUCCAAGCUUAACUUGGAAACUGCCGUUGAUACUAUCUGUCUUGAAUAUUGUGGAGGUGAGCGGAAUAUGUCAUGUAGCGGUGAAAUGCUUAGAUAUGACAUAGAACACCAAUUGCGAAGGCAGCUCACUACUCAAUCAUUGACUCUGAGGCACGAAAGCGUGGGGAGCAAACAGG